rnacentral:piRNA from 1 species
UUCAUCAGUGGCUAAGUUC